CUGCAAUGAUGAGUUUAACUAGCUCACUUUGAUAGCACAGUGAAAAAUUAUGAACUUCUGAGCAGC